GUUGUAGAAUAUAAUUUGCAAAUGCAGGCAUAAAGGAAUUAUAUUAAAACAAGGAUUAAACUAUAUGACACCGACAACUUUGUUGCAGGGCCAUAAAAAAAAAUAUUUAUUUAUUGCAGUUUACUCCUAGCUUGCAUGGCUAAAAUGAAAGUUAUAUAUUGUUAAAAAAAUAUGAUAUAGAGUUCCAAUGAAGAAAAAAAAUGCAUUUGACAUGAAGUUAAUAAAAUGUAUAUAAUACUGAUAACUCCCUCCAUAAAUCAAAAUGUCUACUCCAGAGAACGAUGUACCAACACUCAGUUGCCAUUUUUUUUGUUACAUCAAUAACAAAACUUGCAUUGUUCAGAAAUCACACUGAGAUCAUAUAAUAGUUAGAACUACUUUUUACCACCAGAAAAUCUAAUAUAUAUUGUCUUUAUCAAUCUUUGAACACAAAGAUGUGAUGGGUAUAAAGUUUACAACUGAACUUUUAAACAAUAUCAUAUAUUAUUUUUACUUUCAUUACUUCAUCUAGAAGGCUCAGGCAUUCAUUAUAAUUGGUUUGUCAAACAAUAUACAAUGUAUCUCAACUACACAGUAGCAUGCACAUCAAUAUCCUUCUUUUAGGAUUCUCCAAUCAAUUAGAUUUGCAUUUACACUUAUUGAAUUAUUUCAGAUUUCAAACAGAAUAAACAGUUAAUAGUCAUUCUUGACAUUCAGGCUAAAUAAUCAUCUUAGAUGUUAAUACAAGAUUUGCAGGUUUAAUGCCCUGUACAUAAACCAGUAUGGUUGUCGAAAUCAUUAGUCACUGAAUUCAUAAUUUCUUGCAAAAUGUAUUUUCUUGUUUCCAAGAUGGUUGUUAUAAAUGCUUAUAUUUUAAGAAUAAUCAUCACUAUAUAUAACAACACAUUGUUUUGAGCAAAUUCCAAUCUGUAUUUCAGUCUUGGUGAUAAUGUUAUCAUUCCAGAUAACUCCUAGUUUCAAGUCUGCCACAUCAAAACAUCACACAUCUGUACUUGUAUGUAUAAUUAUUCCCAAAAAAUAAAGUUAUGUGUUCUGAUUCCCAUUAAAAAGGUUUUUUUUACCAAGGAAAUGUGACAACAUACUUUUAAAAUCUGACAAAUACAAAUG
rnacentral:lncRNA from 1 species